rnacentral:rRNA from 1 species
GAGUUUGAUCAUGGCUCAGGAUGAACGCUGGCGGCGUGCUUAACACAUGCAAGUCGAACGAACCUUCGGGUUAGUGGCGGACGGGUGAGUAACGCGUGAGAAUCUGCCCUCAGGAGGGGGAUAACGGUUGGAAACGACCGCUAAUACCCCAUAUGCCGCGAGGUGAAAUGAAUUUCGCCUGAGGAUGAGCUCGCGUCUGAUUAGCUAGUUGGUGGGGUAAAGGCCUACCAAGGCAUCGAUCAGUAGCUGGUCUGAGAGGAUGAUCAGCCACACUGGGACUGAGACACGGCCCAGACUCCUACGGGAGGCAGCAGUGGGAAUUUUCCGCAAUGGGCGAAAGCCUGACGGAGCAACGCCGCGUGAGGGAUGAAGGCCUCUGGGCUGUAAACCUCUUUUAUCAAGGAAGAAGAUCUGACGGUACUUGAUGAAUAAGCCACGGCUAAUUCCGUGCCAGCAGCCGCGGUAAUACGGGAGUGGCAAGCGUUAUCCGGAAUUAUUGGGCGUAAAGCGUCCGCAGGCGGCCCUUCAAGUCUGCUGUUAAAAAGUGGAGCUUAACUCCAUCAUGGCAGUGGAAACUGUUGGGCUUGAGUGUGGUAGGGGCAGAGGGAAUUCCCGGUAUAGCGGUGAAAUGCGUAGAUAUCGGGAAGAACACCAGUGGCGAAGGCGCUCUGCUGGGCCAUCACUGACGCUCAUGGACGAAAGCCAGGGGAGCGAAAGGGAUUAGAUACCCCUGUAGUCCUGGCCGUAAACGAUGAACACUAGGUGUCGGGGGAAUCGACCCCCUCGGUGUCGUAGCCAACGCGUUAAGUGUUCCGCCUGGGGAGUACGCACGCAAGUGUGAAACUCAAAGGAAUUGACGGGGGCCCGCACAAGCGGUGGAGUAUGUGGUUUAAUUCGAUGCAACGCGAAGAACCUUACCAGGGUUUGACAUCCUGCGAAUCUCUUGGAAACGAGAGAGUGCCUUCGGGAGCGCAGUGACAGGUGGUGCAUGGCUGUCGUCAGCUCGUGUCGUGAGAUGUUGGGUUAAGUCCCGCAACGAGCGCAACCCACGUCUUUAGUUGCCAGCAUUUAGUUGGGCACUCUAGAGAGACCGCCGGUGAUAAACCGGAGGAAGGUGUGGAUGACGUCAAGUCAUCAUGCCCCUUACAUCCUGGGCUACACACGUACUACAAUGCUACGGACAAAGGGCAGCAAGUUCGCGAGGACAAGCAAAUCCCAUAAACCGUGGCUCAGUUCAGAUCGUAGGCUGCAACUCGCCUACGUGAAGGAGGAAUCGCUAGUAAUCGCAGGUCAGCAUACUGCGGUGAAUACGU